AUAAUUGGUUGUGAACACUAUAUCAUCAUUUUUUUACUAUUUUUUUACCCUCGUUUCUACUGUUCAUCAUCUUAUUCCCUUCAACACCACCCCUACUUCUACCAUUCUUCUUCUUCCUUUGCACCCUACUUCCAGCAUUGCACUGAACUUAGUUGCGAGAGGAGGGAUGAGCUCUAUGAAAGGUUUAGUGACUCAAAUCCAGAGACUAUCAAGCACUACCUCUGAUGUUUUAAAUGCUACAAAAUUCACUUAAACAGGCAAUGACUCACUUCAUGCCGAGUCGACUCGCUUAUUUUCUCGAUCAACUUGACCCUUUCAAACACUCUCUCGGUUACCUCUAUUUCUUGUGAGUUAUUUUCAAUUUGUCUUUUCACAAAAUAAAUAAAUAAAUAAAUAAAGACUCUGUUAUUUUAUAUGGAAUUUUGUUUUUUCUUUUGUGGUCUCUAGAUCUUUUUCAAAAUUUGAUGCUUGGUUGCUAAGAAAUAAAGAAAUAUAAAAUCUAUUUUUAUAUGUAUUUUAAUAUUUAGGAUGAAAAAUAAUUGCUAAGAAUUUCAUUAAUGGUUGAACAUUGAGGCAUGCACUGCUGGUGCAGUUACAAAAGAGAAAACUAGUUCAUAUGUGCUAAUCAUUGCCAAGUUUCUCAGUUCAAGUGUUUCUGAGCAAAUUCGAUUGGCUUCUCAUAAGUGCAUAACUCUUACUUUGAACCAAAUUAUAUAUUAAGAUUGCCAAAUCCCUUUCUUGUUUCAUGUUGGUAUUGUUGAUGUUGAACUCAACAUGAUUGCCAGUUUAUAUACGUCUGUAAGAGGUUCAAGGACCAAGUUCUGUUGCUCAGAGAACCCUUGCACGGGGUUGCUCCGAUGCUGACCGCUAUUCGAGGUCUCGUAUGGAUUUAACUCUGUAAGUUUUGAAAUAGUGUGGUGGUUGGAAGUAGGGAGUAAAAGGAAGAAAAAUAGUGGUGUGGAGGGGAAGAAGAUGAUGAAUAGUAAUAGGUAAAGAAAUGAUAAAAAAUGAUUAUGCGGCAUUCACAAUUAAUCGUCGUCAUAAAAUUUCUCUAAUAGUGGUGACCAAACUUAAAUAUUUUUAUCUGAGUAACAAAAGUAAAAACACCCAAAAAAAAAAAAAAAGAUUAUCAACUAGUUAGUUUACCCUAUGCGUUGGAAGGUUUGUUCUUUUGAAAAAACCAUAAGAGUGUCAGCCUAAAGCAAGCAAUACCUUAAAUUGGGUGCAAUCCACGUAAGAAUGUGGAACUUGACUAGCUUAUGGAUGUAGAGAUUUGGGGAAAAAUACUCUUUGAUCUUAUCACGUAGUGGAAUCCUUAGGAGAUGAAAGAUAUGUUGCAUUAGGAAAGUUGUUCAAAACAAAAGAUAAUGAUUCCCUUGUAUCAAGGAUUUCAUUUCCUUUUUCCUUUCAUUCUUUUCUGUAACUUUUUUGAAUUAAUUAAAAAUACUUUCUCCUUGUCCUAAACUUACAUAUCAGAGCCAACCUUUCUAUUAAAGGUCGAAAUAGUCAGUUUGACCAUAGUUGUUCCCAACAAUAGUUACUCUUACACAUAAUCAAGAAUUUACAUUUGCUUAAUUGGGUGAACCUAACAUACGCGACUCAUUCAACAUCGUAGAAUUAAGAGAUCCGACGUGUGCUAAGUUCACAUGUGAAAGCUUUAACUUAAUAAUAAUUUUUAUAGUCCAAGUUGAAUCGAGAAGCCGGGUUUAGAAAGAGUGAGUGUACAGCUGUUAGCAAUUGAUUAAGUAUUAUAUCACUAAUUCAUUCACCAUGAUAUUCAAUUAGAAGGUUCACUUGAGACCAUUAGUUUUAGCUUAGUUUAACUAAUUUAUUCAUAUUAGCAUUGAUUGGUAUUUUCUGGAGUUGGUUUAACAAAGUAAACAUUUGUGUGAAUUGGAACUCAAUUUGAAUUUCCAAAUUUUUAUCCCUUACCAAAGUAAGUGUUUCACUGUAGCCUAUCAUCACCCCUAUCUGACCUAAAUUCCCUCAGCUGGGGAUAGCGCUCCGCUUUUUCCCCAUGUUCACACUUGAUUACUAAUUCUGCUAGAGCUGGGAAAAUCGAAUAGAAUCUGAGCAUGCUAAUCAUAGGCCUUAUGUCUUUAGACAGGGUCAAAACCCUUUUAGAACCGCUUCUGCCCUGUACGAGGACUAAGCUUCUAAUAUAAGUAUAACGACAAUCAACCAUCGAGAAAUUCUCUAAAGUUCGUUCCAGCUCGUUUUUAUCCAUGAGUCAUGGAAGUUAAUCACAUCGACAGUGCAUUUUGGAGAGAAUUUUUGUUUUUAAAUUUCACACAUUUUUUAUGGAAAUUUCAGGGGAAGUUCUAACAAAGAAAGGGGUAAAACCUAAUGACUUUCAUCUACUCUACAUACAAAAUACUCAACAGUUGCGAC
rnacentral:lncRNA from 1 species